UCCCUGGUGGUCCAGUGAUUAGGAUUCUGCACUUUCACCGCCAGGGCCCAGGUUUGAUCCCUGGUCUGGGAA
rnacentral:tRNA from 1 species